UGCUUCCAUCUGGAAGAAUCUGGAGACAGGUGCUGCAUGGCUGUCGUCAGCUCGUGUCGUGAGAUGUUGGGUUAAGUCCCGCAACGAGCGCAACCCUUGCCUUUAGUUGCCAGCAGUUCGGCUGGGCACUCUAAAGGGACUGCCGGUGUUAAACCGGAGGAAGUGGGGAUGACGUCAAGUCCUCAUGGCCUUUAUGACCAGGGCUACACACGUACUACAAUGGCCGAUACAAAGGGCAGCGACACUGCGAGGUGAAGCCAAUCCCGUAAAAUCGGUCUCAGUCCGGAUUGGAGUCUGCAACUCGACUCCAUGAAGUUGGAAUCGCUAGUAAUCGUGGAUCAGCAUGCCACGGUGAAUACGUUCCCGGGCCUU
rnacentral:rRNA from 1 species